UAUAGGUUGUGGCACUCUGUGGGUUACUGACGGGAUUUGGAAACUUGUUUUUCCACAUUGCAUGCACAGACUGAAGUAUGUUGUGGACCGAAUUCCAUCAAUAUCUAUGCCAGAUGUGUGCACCUAUCCGCCGGUGCCUGGAAAAGCUUUUUGUCAGGAUCACUGCCAGUAUUUGGAGUCACAGGAGAUGAUGUUUCGGUUAACUUUGAUGAAGAGAAAACAAUAGACACGGUUCUACAAAACACUACUUCUGAAAUUGAAAUGGGAAAAUCU